CCUACGGGGGGCAGCAGUGAGGAAUAUUGGUCAAUGGACGAGAGUCUGAACCAGCCAAGUAGCGUGAAGGAUGACUGCCCUAUGGGUUGUAAACUUCUUUUAUAUGGGAAUAAAAUGUUCCACGUGUGGGAUUUUGUAUGUACCAUAUGAAUAAGGAUCGGCUAACUCCGUGCCAGCAGCCGCGGUAAUACGGAGGAUUCGAGCGUUAUCCGGAUUGAUUGGGUUUAACGGGAGCGUAGGUGGUUUGUUAAGUCAGUUGUGAAAGUUUGCGGCUCAACCGUAAAAUUGCAGUUGAAACUGGCAGUCUUGAGUACAGUAGAGGUGGGCGGAAUUCGUGGUGUAGCGGUGAAAUGCUUAGAUAUCACGAAGAACUCCGAUUGCGAAGGCAGCUCACUGGACUGCAACUGACACUGAGGCUCGAAAGUGUGGGUAUCAAACAGGAUUAGAUACCCUUGUAGUC
rnacentral:rRNA from 1 species